UACGAAGGGGGCUAGCGUUGCUCGGAAUCACUGGGCGUAAAGGGUGCGUAGGCGGGUCUUUAAGUCAGGGGUGAAAUCCUGGAGCUCAACUCCAGAACUGCCUUUGAUACUGAAGAUCUUGAGUUCGGGAGAGGUGAGUGGAACUGCGAGUGUAGAGGUGAAAUUCGUAGAUAUUCGCAAGAACACCAGUGGCGAAGGCGGCUCACUGGCCCGAUACUGACGCUGAGGCACGAAAGCGUGGGUAGCAACAGG
rnacentral:rRNA from 1 species